rnacentral:rRNA from 1 species
GACGGAGGGUGCAAGCGUUGUCCGGAAUUAUUGGGCGUAAAGCGUUCGUAGGCGGCCUGCCAAGUCUGAUGUUAAAUCCCGGAGCUCAACUCCGGCACGGCAUUAGAUACUGGCAAGCUUGAGUACAGAAGAGGUAAGGGGAAUUCCUAGUGUAGCGGUGAAAUGCGUAGAUAUUAGGAGGAACACCGGUGGCGAAAGCGCCUUACUGGUCUGUUACUGACGCUGAGGGACGAAAGCCACGGGAGCAAAUGGG